rnacentral:rRNA from 1 species
ACAUGCAAGUCGAACGAUGAAGCCUAGCUUGCUAGGUGGAUUAGUGGCGCACGGGUGAGUAAUAUAUAGAUAACGUGCCUCUUAGUCUGGGAUAGCCAUUGGAAACGAUGAUUAAUACUAGAUACUCCUUCUUAUUCUAAUGUAAGUUGGGAAAGUUUUUCGCUAAGAGAUCGGUCUAUAUCCCAUCAGCUUGUUGGUAGUGUAAGAGACUACCAAGGCUAUGACGGGUAGCGGGUUUGAGAGGAUGAUCCGCCACACUGGUACUGAGACACGGACCAGACUCCUACGGGAGGCAGCAGUGAGGAAUAUUGCACAAUGGGGGAAACCCUGAUGCAGCAACGCCGCGUGGAGGAUGACGCAUUUCGGUGUGUAAACUCCUUUUAUGAGUCAAGAAAAUGACGGUAGCUCAUGAAUAAGCACCGGCUAACUCCGUGCCAGCAGCCGCGGUAAUACGGAGGGUGCAAGCGUUAUUCGGAAUCACUGGGCGUAAAGGACGCGUAGGCGGGAUGCCAAGUCUGAUGUGAAAUCCUAUGGCUCAACCAUAGAACUGCAUUGGAAACUGGUAACCUAGAGUAUGGGAGGGGGAGAUGGAAUUAGUGGUGUAGGGGUAAAAUCCGUAGAUAUCACUAGGAAUACCGAAAGCGAAGGCGAUCUCCUGGAACAAUACUGACGCUAAGGCGUGAAAGCGUGGGGAGCAAACGGGAUUAGAUACCCCGGUAGUCCACGCCCUAAACGAUGAACACUAGUCGUCGGAAUGCUAGUCAUUUCGGUGAUGCACUUA